ACUCCUACGGGAGGCAGCAGUGGGAAUAUUGGACAAUGGGGGAAACCCUAGAUCCAGCCAUGCCGCGUGUGUGAAGAAGGCCCUUCGGGUUGUAAAAGCACUUUCAGUGGGGAGGAAAGGUUGAUGGUUAAUACCCAUCAGCUGUGACGUUACCCACAGAAGAAGCACCGGCUAACUCCGUGCCAGCAGCCGCGGUAAUACGGAGGGUGCAAGCGUUAAUCGGAAUUACUGGGCGUAAAGCGUGCGCAGGCGGUCUGUUAAGCGAGAUGUGAAAGCCCCGGG
rnacentral:rRNA from 1 species